UUUCAUAAUGGCGACUCAAAUACAGAUUCCUUAUUCCGAGAUGGUUAUUAAGAAGAUGAACCAUCAAUAAUCCCAUGAAAGAACAUUGGGCCAAAGAGAAUUGUGGACAUCUUAUAAGCGCCUCGGGACUGGAAUGAGGAUUUCUGAUUUCCAGAUCUCCUCCCUAGCACUAAACAACAUGGCUUCAGGGCCAAAAUUGUGAUGCUCAAAAAAGAACUCAGAAAACUAUGCUUAUGAGGAGUAUGAGGCAGAGAGGGUGUAAUUUAUCCUGAGUAUACAGCCGGAAAGCUGAAUCUGAACACAAACAGUACUCCACAGAACUCUUGCUUUGGAACUCAAGCUACCAAAAGAUAAGGAUCUUGGCUGAUGACACAAAAAGAAAACCAAGUGCAGAGUUGGUGCCUAGUGAGAAAUGGAUGGAAGGUGAUUCUGUAGAAAUUGCAAGUGCAAGCAAGUAAGAGAGUGUAUUCUCUUCUUUUAAGCCUUCAUUAUUCACCACCCCCCCCAUUGCCAGUACAAUGGAACCAUGGCCCUAUCUCCACCCACCUUGCCAGAAGGAAACUGCAGUGGGAGAAAACCAAGUUAAUGAGGAGUGAGAGAAGACAUUAAGGACCAGCUGAGUCCCAGAGACAAAGCUGAAAAACCAUCCAAGGAGGUUGCCAGACUGCAACAGCCACAUCUCAGCUCCACAGACAGUGGAAGCAAGGCAGAGAGGCAACUGGAAAGAGAGAGAUGGAUGAGAGCUGCCGGAAAUGAGAGCUUAGCAGAACAGAAUGUGAAAUCCAAGGACGUUUUCCAAGAGAUGCCUGCCUUCUUAUAUGGUCUACUUCUAUUCCAGAGUGGUGAUAUUCCAAUCCAUGUAUAUUUUAGAGAGGAGGC